GGGUGAGUAACACGUAUGGAACCUGCCCGUAGCAGGGGGAUAGGCGGAAGAAAUUCCGUCUAAUACCGCGUAAUAACUCCGAGAGGCAUCUCCUGGGGUUUAAAGGGUAACACCGGCUACGGAUGGCCAUGCGGCGCAUUAGCUAGUUGGCGGGGUAACGGCCCACCAAGGCGACGAUGCGUAGGGGUUCUGAGAGGAAGGUCCCCCACACUGGUACUGAGACACGGACCAGACUCCUACGGGAGGCAGCAGUGAGGAAUAUUGGUCAAUGGGCGCGAGCCUGAACCAGCCAAGUCGCGUGAGGGAAGACGGUCCUAUGGAUUGUAAACCUCUUUUGUCGGGGAGCAAAAGACGCCACGCGUGGCGUUCCGAGAGUACCCGAAGAAAAAGCAUCGGCUAACUCCGUGCCAGCAGCCGCGGUAAUACGGAGGAUGCGAGCGUUAUCCGGAUUUAUUGGGUUUAAAGGGUGCGCAGGCGGAAGAUCAAGUCAGCGGUAAAAUUGAGAGGCUCAACCUCUUCGAGCCGUUGAAACUGGUUUUCUUGAGUGAGCGAGAAGUAUGCGGAAUGCGUGGUGUAGCGGUGAAAUGCAUAGAUAUCACGCAGAACUCCGAUUGCGAAGGCAGCAUACCGGCGCUCAACUGACGCUCAUGCACGAAAGUGUGGGUAUCGAACAGGAUUAGAUACCCUGGUAGUCCACACAGUAAACGAUGAAUACUAAUUGUUCGGG
rnacentral:rRNA from 1 species